rnacentral:snoRNA from 1 species
AACCCAUGAUUUGGGCAUUUUCUCAAUAAAAACUUAUAUCUCUCCCAAGCUUCACACAAAGGCUCAUCAAUGCCUUGAGAGAAAGUUGCAAUUGCUGAUUUGGUGCU